rnacentral:piRNA from 1 species
GAUCGGUCUACUUAACGUGUCAGCGAC